GAUGGACUUUACCAAUCAAGAUAGGAAUUAGAUAAGAAUUAUUUUCUUUUUAAAAAGGAGCAUUGAAACAAUGGUCAAAUGAGAGAAAAAGCAAAAUUCAGACAGACGGAUACAUACACACACCCCAAACCCUCAAACCUCCAGGGCUUCCUGCCUGUGAACCGAAAGGGGGAGUGCGAAUUUCUUGGCCCUGUCGGCAGGUGCUUUCUCAAAGGCCCCACAGUCCUCCACUUCCUGGGGAGGUAGCUGCAGAAUAAAACCAGCAGACUCCUUUUCUCCUAACCGUCCCGGCCACCGCUGCCUCAGCCUCUGCCUCCCAGCCUCUUUCUGAGGGAAACGACAAGAUGAAGUGGAAGGCGCUUUUCACCGCGGCCAUCCUGCAGGCACAGUUGCCGAUUACAGAGGCACAGAGCUUUGGCCUGCUGGAUCCCAAACUCUGCUACCUGCUGGAUGGAAUCCUCUUCAUCUAUGGUGUCAUUCUCACUGCCCUGUUCCUGAGAGUGAAGUUCAGCAGGAGCGCAGACGCCCCCGCGUACCAGCAGGGCCAGAACCAGCUCUAUAACGAGCUCAAUCUAGGACGAAGAGAGGAGUACGAUGUUUUGGACAAGAGACGUGGCCGGGACCCUGAGAUGGGGGGAAAGCCGCGUUUAGCUUUUGUUGCCCAGGCUGGGGUGCAACGGCACAGUCUCGGCUCACCACAACCUCUGCCUCUAGGGUUCAAGCAAUUCUCCUGCCUCAGCCUCCCGAGUAGCUGGGAUUACAGGCAUGCGCCACCACGCUUGGCUAAUUUUGUAGUUUUUUUAGUAGAGACGGGGUUUCUCCAUGUUGGUCAGGCUGGUCUCGAACUUUCGACCUCAAGUGAUCUGCCCGCCUCAGCCAACCAAAGUGCUGCGAUUCCAGGCGUCAGCCACCACACCCAGACUUGGUUAUUGUUAAUAGGACUACAAUCUGGAAUCACAGGCGUAAGCCCCCACGCCCGGCUGUGGUUAUUGUUAAUAGUGCUACAAUCAACAUGGGAGUAUAGACAUUUCUUCAACAAGCAGACUUCAAAUCUUUUGGCAGAGAAGGAAGAACCCUCAGGAAGGCCUGUACAACGAACUGCAGAAAGAUAAGAUGGCGGAGGCCUACAGUGAGAUUGGGAUGAAAGGCGAGGUGAGUGUUGCUGUUUCUUAAUUUCCGAGGGAGUUCCUCUUGGUCCUCCAGACACGCCUGUUGCAGGCCUCCUUUCCCAUCCACUUCUCAUCCCAGCUGCAAACGCCCAUGUGGUGGCCAUCAGAGGUGAAGGCGAACCUGGCUGUCACCCAGCCGGGCAGAACAUAAGAAACUAAGGAAGGGCUGAUGCUCUUUCAGUACAGAAAACCACAUCUAGAUUCUAUGACAGCCUAAGCUUUGCAAAAGCAGGUCCGUUUUAAUAACAGGAAGCAUCGAGUGCUUAAUAUGUGCUGCUGUGUUCAGUGCUCAGGACCACAGGUCCCAGGGCAACAUGAAAACAAUUCAUCAACAAUUAAGAAUUGUUCAUCAACAAUUAAUUGUUCAUCAACAAUUAAGAAUUUCAAAAUGGUGAGAGUGAAGCAUUGACCCCUUCCAAGCAGGGGUUCUCUGUAGUUUUAUUUAAUUCCCACAACAACCCAAUGAGAAACAUGUGCCCUGCAAGGCACAAGGAGGUUGAGUGACUUACCCAAGGUCUUCUAGCUGGUAAACGGGCACGUGAUUGAACGGACUAUGCCAGAGCUCGUAACUGCUCAAAACAGCUGGUUGUCAGUGAGCAAAAAUGACUAGCCAAGAACUUUAAGAGCUGAAGGGAAGCCCAUUUAUCUAAGCAGUGGGCAAUAUAGGUCCUGCGGGCCCUAGACCUUAGGAAUCUGAUGUCUGUGAGGAUCUGAGUGGGGUGGAGCAAACCCAAGCCCCAUCAUGGCCAGGCCUCAGCUUACUCUGCAGAGAUGAAGGUCUGACCAGGGACCUGAGGAUCCUUCUCUCCCAGGGGCAGGGGUGCUGCUGGGAGACAGUUACCUCUGACUUCCUGGGUACCUUGGGAGGGGCCCUUGAGCAGAAAUGCCACUACUGACUGCCUGACUUUCUAAUCCUUUUCUUAUUUCACUCCCAAACAACCAGCGCCGGAGGGGCAAGGGGCACGAUGGCCUUUACCAGGGUCUCAGUACAGCCACCAAGGACACCUACGACGCCCUUCACAUGCAGGCCCUGCCCCCUCGCUAACAGCCAGGGGAUUUCACCACUCAAAGGCCAGACCUGCAGACGCCCAGA